AGAUAUAACUUGUGGUUUAAUGUAACCAGGGAAGUUUUCGACAAACCUAUCAACUAUAGCAGUGUCAUUUCUGCUGCCGUACAGGAGAGAGAAUUUUGAAGGGCAAUAGCUUGAUCCCUCCUGGAUCUUCUCGUACUUCUUAUUUCUGUGCGGUAUCAUCUCUUUAUCCUUUGCCUCAUCAUGACUUACGAUAAUAUACAUAUAGAUUAAUGAUAUUUUAUUAAUAAAGAAUGCUGAAAGAAUCUUUCUUCCUCCAAUUAUUGCUCAAAAAUAAAGUUACCUGCACCCCACAAAAAAACAACAGCGGUG
rnacentral:lncRNA from 1 species